rnacentral:tRNA from 1 species
CGCGGAUUGGAUCACAUCAUUCAGAAGACAGGCGAAUAAUCCCGCCUCGGAGGCGGGACCGCGGGUUCAAAUCCCGCCCCCGCAACCA